CAUAUCAAUAAGCGGAGGAAAAGAAACCAACAGGGAUUGCCCUAGUAACGGCGAGUGAAGCGGCAACAGCUCAAAUUUGAAAGCUAGCCUUCGGGUUCGCAUUGUAAUUUGUAGAGGAUGAUUUGGGGAAGCCGCCUGUCUAAGUUCCUUGGAACAGGACGUCAUAGAGGGUGAGAAUCCCGUAUGUGACAGGAAAUGGCACCCUAUGUAAAUCUCCUUCGACGAGUCGAGUUGUUUGGGAAUGCAGCUCUAAAUGGGAGGUAAAUUUCUUCUAAAGCUAAAUAUUGGCGAGAGACCGAUAGCGCACAAGUAGAGUGAUCGAAAGAUGAAAAGCACUUUGGAAAGAGAGUUAAAAAGCACGUGAAAUUGUUGAAAGGGAAGCGCUUGCAAUCAGACUUGUUUAAACUGUUCGGCCGGUCUUCUGACCGGUUUACUCGGUUUGGACAGGCCAGCAUCAGUUUCGGCGGCCGGAUAAAGGCUCUGGGAAUGUGGCCUCCACUUCGGUGGAGGUGUUAUAGCCCAGGGUGUAAUACGGCCAGCCGGGACUGAGGUCCGCGCUUCGGCUAGGAUGCUGGCGUAAUGGUUGUAAGCGACCCGUCUUGAAACACGGACCAAGGAGUCUAACAUCUAUGCGAGUGUUCGGGUGUCAAACCCCUGCGCGUAAUGAAAGUGAACGGAGGUGGGAACCCGCAAGGGUGCACCAUCGACCGAUCCUGAUGUCUUCGGAUGGAUUUGAGUAAGAGCAUAGCUGUUGGGACCCGAAAGAUGGUGAACUAUGCCUGAAUAGGGUGAAGCCAGAGGAAACUCUGGUGGAGGCUCGCAGCGGUUCUGACGUGCAAAUCGAUCGUCAAAUUUGGGUAUAGGGGCGAAAGACUAAUCGAACCAUCUAGUAGCUGGUUCUGCCG
rnacentral:rRNA from 1 species